UACGUAGGGUGCAAGCGUUAAUCGGAAUUACUGGGCGUAAAGCGUGCGCAGGCGGUUUUGUAAGUCUGACGUGAAAUCCCCGGGCUUAACCUGGGAAUUGCGUUGGAGACUGCAAGGCUGGAGUCUGGCAGAGGGGGGUAGAAUUCCACGUGUAGCAGUGAAAUGCGUAGAGAUCGGGAGGAACACCAGUGGCGAAGGCGACUACCUGGACCAGCACUGACACUGAGGCACGAAGGCGUGGGGAGCGAACGGG
rnacentral:rRNA from 1 species